GACGUAGGGCGCGAGCGUUUGUCUGGAUUUAUUGGGCGUAAAGAGCUCGUAGGCGGCUUGUUGCGUCGGCUGUGAAAACCCGCGGCUUAACCCCGGGCCUGCAGUGGGUACGGGCAGACUAGAGUGCGGUAGGGGAGACUGGAAUUCCUGGUGUAGCGGUGAAAUGCGCAGAUAUCAGGAGGAACACCGGUGGCGAAGGCGGGUCUCUGGGCCGUAACUGACGCUGAGGAGCGAAAGCGUGGGGAGCGAACAGG
rnacentral:rRNA from 1 species